rnacentral:lncRNA from 1 species
AACAAAUAUGAUUCUCUGUGGCGCGUAAUAUGGGCUUUAUUUGAGGUCCCACAUAUCAGCAACCAAUUGAAUCUAUAACGUGUUUUCUCAAAUCAAUUGCCUUAUUUUCCUCAGACCAUUGUUGCAUUCCAAAUUCACAUCCCAUACAACAUACUUUCUGUAUCCAUUUUACUCUCACAACAUUUUUUCUUCAAUUUAGUAAACAGGAGAAUUGCUUUCAUAUUAACUCUCCCGUAAAUCAUCUCCUCAAUUUGAAUUUGAAUUUUUAAUGAAGUAAAUUGAUAGAGUUCCCAUAUAUAGGCUCUAUUUUCGAGUCGUUAAUCUCUGUUGAUACGUGAGAUCCCAAUUUUUGUGGAACAAAAUGAAUUCCAUAUUGAAAUCACUCUAUAAAUUCGAUUACUGUUCUGGCUAUUAUUCACACCUUGGUUUUCUUCUUCAAUUCAUUUGUCAUCCAGGUUUCUUCUUUAAUCUGAUGUUCUUAAUUUUUAUUAAUUGUAUUCGAUUUUUUAUUAUCAUGAAUGUGUGGUGUAUCUGAUUGCCUUCUUAACCUUGCAUUUGAUGUUGCACUCUAUGUGUUUGAUAAAAUGCCCAUGAGAUAUGUCUUAUCAAAUACUAUUACACACUAUUGUCUGUAUUUUUGUGCUACUUACCACAUGUGUGUGUGUGUGUGUGUUUGUGAUUCCUAACUUUCCUGCAUUUUGUUUGGGUUAAAUCAUAAACUUGGUUAGCUUACUCAUCCGGGAAGAAAAGGAAGAUCAACUAUUUCAUAAAAAAAAGUAGUUGAUAUCUUGGAUAUUGUAUCUAUAUCAGCAUGUCUAUUUUUGAGCAAACCAUGGGUUUUCACUCUCAUUUAGUUUCUUUAUGCUAUAGUUAUAUGGUAAGAAAAGUGAUUAUGCUAAUAUUAACAUGUUGGUUGUUUGUGUGAUAGCUUGAACUUAUCUUUGGUAGGUAUUAUAUGUCAACUGAACCAAAUGUAGUGAAGGAUUGGGCUGUAUUUUAAGUCUUAAAGGAAUUUUCAGCCCUUUUUCUUUUUUGAACAGUUGUAAGAUAAAGGGUUAUUUGUUACUUCUAAAUAGAAAGGUACUUUCAACAAUAAUCUUUAGUCCAAAUAUCAAAUUGAAGAAAUGACUUUUUAUGUGAUUUUAGGUCAAAAAGUUCAUUUACUCUUUGCUACUUAGAGAUAGAUCAUUUGCGCUUAUUGGAUUAAAAUUUUGAUUUUUGACUUUAGAAAUACCAAGUUUCUGGACAUAACAGCUUAUGUGCAUGGCUAUAAGUAAUAUGGAGACACAAUAGGGUGGGGAAAAGUACACAAGGCCCAAAACUAUAGCAACAUAGUUUUCUUUUUUUACCUGAUCGUUAUAUAGUUUUCUUGAUGAACGUUUUUACAAGCACAUUGUCAAAAAUAAAGAGAAAUUUAUUUCCAAAUGUAAUGAGUUUAGUUCAAACCCUAUUUUAUUUCAAAAAGAGAAGAGAUAGUUGGUUGUUUUUUUAUUGCUUCUGUUUUCUUUUGGUUGAAAGUAUCAAGAAUUCAUUUUUAUAGUGUAUUUGUUAUAAGAAUGUGUUUGCUUUCAUAAUUUUUUCUUUAACAUGUUUUUCAGAUAGACACUCAAGGGAAAAAUGUAAUGAGUGCUUCAUCUUCUUGGGUGCCUAAGAAUGAGCUUCUACAGAUUUAAAUAUUCAUUGAUAGUAAUAUGGGAGAAUAAGACCAAAAGACCAAACCCGAUGUUUCUAUUAAGUAAGGUUAAUAUUUACCAUCUCAAGUUUUUCCCAUUUUUAUAAUAUGAGAACAGAUUGAUAAAUUACAUAAAUUUUUCAUAAUUUUGGUAUUUUCUCUAACCAUUUCAUAGGAGAUAAGUUAUUUAUUCAUACUUUUAUGAUUUUAGGGUUUUCUUUCACGAUUUAAAAAGAAACAAUUUGAAAUAAAAGUUUGAUAGAUGAUAUGUGUGUAAACUGUGGUUGUUUUGUGUAUGAAUUUGCAUUCCUGGAUUAGUUUUCUUAAAUUUCUUAUAUUAAUUUCUAAGAAAUAGAAUUUUAUAACGUUAGCAUGUUCAUCCUUCUUUUUUGUGACCUUUUUGGUCAUUUUCUCAUUCUUAUAUAUAUAUAUGAUUCAUAAUUUUGGCAUUCUUAAGCUAAAAAAUACUAAUAUGAAACUUUUAAAAUUAAAAGUUUGAUUUUUUUGAGUUUUUUAGUCAAGAUGACCAUUUUGACCUUUUUGUCCAAUUUGGUCAUUUUUACCGGUUUUAUUUUUUUAAAAUUUUUUUUCGUAAUAUGGUCAUUUUUGCUGAAAAUAGUCAUUUUGAUCAUUUUGCUUAAUCUGAUCAUUUUGACCAUUUCGGUCAAUUUGAUCAUUUUUUAUACAGGGACCAUUAAUGUCUAUUUUGUUAAACAUGGGCUAUUUAUACAAUAUUUUUAUAUACGGACCAUUUUUUUUAAAUUUAUUUAAAUAGGGAUUAUUCCUGUAGUUAAAUAUAUUUAAAACAGGUAAUAAUUACUUUCAUUUUUUAAGUUUAGCAAUGUACUUUUUAUAAUAAAAAGUAUGAUGUUAUAUUAGAGAUAAAACUGAAAUAUGUUGCUAUAUAUUGCAUUUAGCACAUGACCGAUUUGUCGUUUCUAUGAGAUACUAUGCCAAUAACACAAGUUUUUUUUUUUUUUUUUUUUUGGUUAGGUUCCUAAAGAACAUGUACAGAGGAGGAAAAUGACUCAAAUCGAUGUUUGCUUUGGUUAUACACCAAGUCAAGCUACCAUUUUAUAUAAUCUAAAUUAAAUUGAUUUAGACUUUAUUUUUUUUAGAGUAAGUUUAUUAAAAUUUCUUAAAAAAGACAACUCGUAAAUUACAUUCUAUAUGAAUUUUUAAACUUUUGUAGUAAUGGAACUAAAUGAUGCUUCUAUAUAGAUACAAUCCAAAUUAAAGUACUAUGUUAUUUCUUGCAUCUUACUCAACAAUGGGUUAUAAUUAAUUCCACG